rnacentral:rRNA from 1 species
UACAGAGACUGCAAGCGUUAUUCGGAUUCACUGGGCGUAAAGGGUGCGCAGGCGGCCAUGUGUGUGAGGCGUGAAAGCCCGGGGCUUAACCCCGGAAUUGCACCUCAAACUACACGGCUAGAGCAUUGGAGAGGGUAGCAGAAUUCACGGUGUAGCAGUGAAAUGCGUAGAUAUCGUGAGGAAUACCAGAGGCGAAGGCGGCUACCUGGACAAUUGCUGACGCUCAGGCACGAAAGCGUGGGGAGCAAAAGGG